rnacentral:rRNA from 1 species
AUUGAACGCUGGCGGCAUGCUUUACACAUGCAAGUCGAACGGCAGCGCGGGCUUCGGCCUGGCGGCGAGUGGCGAACGGGUGAGUAAUGCAUCGGAACGUGCCCAGUAGUGGGGGAUAGCCCGGCGAAAGCCGGAUUAAUACCGCAUACGACCUGAGGGUGAAAGCGGGGGACCGAAAGGCCUCGCGCUAUUGGAGCGGCCGAUGUCGGAUUAGCUAGUUGGUGGGGUAAAGGCUUACCAAGGCGACGAUCCGUAGCUGGUCUGAGAGGACGACCAGCCACACUGGGACUGAGACACGGCCCAGACUCCUACGGGAGGCCGCAGUGGGGAAUUUUGGACAAUGGCGGCAACCCUGAUCCAGCCAUGCCGCGUGCGGGAAGAAGGCCUUCGGGUUGUAAACCGCUUUUGUUCGGGAAGAAAUCCUCUGGGCUAAUACCCCGGGGGGAUGACGGUACCGGAAGAAUAAGCACCGGCUAACUACGUG